GAGCAGAUGAUGAAAGAUAUUAGUAGAAACUACUGAUAAUUCUAUGAAGAGUUGUAAAAUCGAGCUUUUUAAAGCUGAUGCUCA
rnacentral:snoRNA from 1 species